UAGGAGUGGCGGCUGCUAUAAUGCAGUCGAGCGGACAGAAGGGAGCUUGCUCCCGGAUGUUAGCGGCGGACGGGUGAGUAACACGUGGGUAACCUGCCUGUAAGACUGGGAUAACUCCGGGAAACCGGAGCUAAUACCGGAUAGUUCCUUGAACCGCAUGGUUCAAGGAUGAAAGACGGUUUCGGCUGUCACUUACAGAUGGACCCGCGGCGCAUUAGCUAGUUGGUGGGGUAAUGGCUCACCAAGGCGACGAUGCGUAGCCGACCUGAGAGGGUGAUCGGCCACACUGAAACUGAGACACGGCCCAGACUCCUACGGGAGGCAGCAGUAGGGAAUCUUCCGCAUUGGGACGAAAGUCUGACGGAGCAACGCCGCGUGAGUGAUGAAGGUUUUCGGAUCGUAAAGCUCUGUUGUUAGGGAAGAACAAGUGCGAGAGUAACUGCUCGCACCUUGACGGUACCUAACCAGAAAGCCACGGCUAACUACGUGCCAGCAGCCGCGGUAAUACGUAGGUGGCAAGCGUUGUCCGGAAUUAUUGGGCGUAAAGGGCUCGCAGGCGGUUUCUUAAGUCUGAUGUGAAAGCCCCCGGCUCAACCGGGGAGGGUCAUUGGAAACUGGGAAACUUGAGUGCAGAAGAGGAGAGUGGAAUUCCACGUGUAGCGGUGAAAUGCGUAGAGAUGUGGAGGAACUUCAGUGGCGAAGGCGACUCUCUGGUCUGUAACUGACGCUGAGGAGCGAAAGCGUGGGGAGCGAACAGGAUUAGAUACCCUGGUAGUCCACGCCGUAAACGAUGAGUGCUAAGUGUUAAGGGGGUUUCCGCCCCUUAGUGCUGCAGCUAACGCAUUAAGCACUCCGCCUGGGGGAGUACGGUCGCAAGACUGAAACUCAAAGGAAUUGACGGGGGCCCGCACAAGCGGUGGAACAAAGUGGUUUAAUUCGAAGCAACGCGAAGAACCUUACCAGGUCUUGACAUCCUAUAGGACAACCCUAGAGAUAGGGCUUUCCCUUCGGGGACAGAGUGACAGGUGGUGCAUGGUUGUCGUCAGCUCGUGUCGUGAGAUGUUGGGUUAAGUCCCGCAACGAGCGCAACCCUUGAUCUUAGUUGCCAGCAUUUAGUUGGGCACUCUAAGGUGACUGCCGGUGACAAACCGGAGGAAGGUGGGGAUGACGUCAAAUCAUCAUGCCCCUUAUGACCUGGGCUACACACGUGCUACAAUGGACAGAACAAAGGGCUGCGAGACCGCAAGGUUUAGCCAAUCCCAUAAAUCUGUUCUCAGUUCGGAUCGCAGUCUGCAACUCGACUGCGUGAAGCUGGAAUCGCUAGUAAUCGCGGAUCAGCAUGCCGCGGUGAAUACGUUCCCGGGCCUUGUACACACCGCCCGUCACACCACGAGAGUUUGCAACACCCGAAGUCGGUGAGGUAACCUUUAUGGAGCCAGCCGCCGAAGGGACCAUGCCUAC
rnacentral:rRNA from 1 species